CCGGGAUCUACGCAUCACGUGAUAAAGGUAGCAUGCCUUCUGUAGCUCAACUUGGUUCUCUGCUGACAGGACUUGGUGUCGGUGGUGUAUUUGGCGUCUAUUUGUCUCAAACCUACGAGGUACCUGACGUAGGAAAGCUGUUGGAUCGAUUAUCGUCUUGGUCAACGGAGUACGAAAAGAAGACGAAAACGAGAGAGAACGGUAGUGAGUCAGACAGACAGUAACAGAGGUAGUUCCAAAUUGUUAUCAAAUACCAAACUUUGUUAAUUGAAUAUGUCAGAUUAACAUUUAUUGAUAAUUCAUAAUGCUCUACUGUGUGUGUUCAUGAUUGUACUUACUGUAU